UUGUUAAGCAGAGCAUCCCCACUACAUGAUAGUAUGGUUUGGGGGAUUGUGCCCUAGGAGAGGUGUCCCACCUGAUGUUUGAGGAAUUUAACCCAGAUCCUCCUGCCUGCUCUCAUCCUCUUCUCCCUCAUUGCUUUACAGAGCCCCUAUGUGGUUGGCAGCACUGGUGAGCUGGGCAGAGCUGCUGGCCAUCUUCGUCUUAGGCACACUGCUGCUUCUCACAGAAGCCCUCCUGCGAGCCAUGGUGGUCAUCGGGCUUCUGCUCUACAUGCUCGUCGCUGACUGACGGUGAAGAGGGGAGGGCCCCUCUUUUUCCUCCUUAUUCCCAGAGCUCUUCAAGAAGGAGGUAAGAGGAGAAUCACACCGACCUCAAGAGCAGACGGAGAGAAGCGUGAGCAGUAGUCCAAGGAGGAGGGGAGAUGAAGUUCCCAAUUCUCACUGCGUUUGCCCUGUUCUACGUGGCCCACUGCGAGGAAGGCGCCAGGCUCCUGGCCUCCAAAUCUCUGUUAAACAGAUAUGCAGUGGAGGGCAAGGACUUGACUUUGCAGUACAACAUCUACAAUGUUGGCUCCAGUGCUGCUUUAGAUGUGGAGCUGUCGGAUGAUUCUUUCCCUCCAGAAGAUUUUGGCAUUGUCUCUGGGAUGCUCAACGUCAAGUGGGACAGGAUUGCUCCAGCGAGUAACGUGUCCCACACUGUGGUUCUGCGGCCUCUCAAAGCUGGUUACUUCAACUUCACCUCUGCUACCAUCACCUACCUGGCACAGGAGGGCGGACAGGUCGUGGUUGGUUUCACCAGCGCGCCUGGGCAGGGAGGAAUCUUGGCUCAGCGUGAGUUUGACAGGAGGUUCUCCCCUCAUUUUCUGGACUGGGCAGCUUUUGGCGUGAUGACCUUGCCCUCCAUCGGGAUCCCCCUGCUGCUGUGGUACUCGAGCAAGAGGAAGUAUGACACCCCCAAGACCAAAAAGAACUGAACAAAGUCAAAUGCCGCCAGCACCCCAGAGCUCGGGAAAGAACAAACGUUAACCCGGCCAGAACCGCAGCUGAGGAGGGGAGCAAUAGAGCGACUUGGUGGGCACCCAGCAUCCAGCCAGGGUCAACCCCCCACACCAGUUCAGCUUUUACCCCUGUGACGCCACCUUCCAGGACCUCAACUAUAUGGUAAGACCCAUUAGGAGAAGACUGGAACUCUUGCAAAUACUCGCUUUAGAAAAACGGCGAGUUAUUCUCAGGUUGUGCAAAUUGAGAGAGAUCAGUGUCCCCUUCCACAAACGCUUUCCACAAACGCUCGCAGAAUUUCUGUAGGGGGUUGUAACACAGUUAAGAAGAUUGGUGGGGGUGAAAUGUGAAUAGAAACGCGUGCGAGAGAGAGACUGAGAUAACAACACAGCAAGGGUAAGUUUCCUUCGCUCUCUCAUUUCCUUAUUAGCGCUAAAUAUCUGUAACACAAUCCAUCAUGGCACUCCCUUUGGCAGCUGCCCGUUGCUAACUAAACACAUAUUCGCAUCAGAUAAAUGCCCUUCAGUGCUGCCUGUAAGCUUCCACAGGGAUCGCGUACUCUGUCUCCCCUUCCAGUAUCCACCUGCCUCCUGCACAGACAGCAAAACCUGAAAUCAAACACAUGGCUUGCUCCCAAGGACCAUCGGCAGCGACUAAUGGUGGUAACACACUUCUCAUUAAGGAACGUAACUCUAUUAUCAAAAGUUAUUUAUCUGAUUGUUAAUCAGAUUAAUAACAGAAGCACUCCUAAAUUGGCUUGGAAACCUGGUUUGUAUCACGUUUUGUCCCGGAGCAAGGAGAGCGCCAGCGAUGCUCAUUUCUGUAAUGGAGACGUCUUUCUGCUGCCAAUUUCAGUGCAGAACAGAGGACAGACAUGAGGCAGCCAGCACUUACGGUCACUGUGAAACUUUUCUGGACAGGAAUUAAGUGACCGAAGCAGAAAGACUCUCAUUAUUCAUCCUCCGAAGCAUCCAGUAUCGUCUAAAAACGAAUUCUUGAAUCCAAACACCCUCCAACAAAAAUAGUUCGGCAAGCAGCACAAAAGUGGCAGGGAGGCAAUCGUGACACAAGCUUUCCAAGCUCCGAGGCCCAUUCUCUGUCGUUAAUCUUUAGUUUAGUUAAUUAUGCUGAUUUAGAGAGCAGCCCAUCAAACGGAGAAAAGCCAACUUCAACUUUCAAAUCAAUGCACUUGAAAAGAUGCAGUCUGCUUUUUGCCUUAAGAUUUAGAUGCCCACUGCCAACAUAACGGAUGCAAUUAUACUUUAAAGUAUGUUCCUGAUAAAAAAAAAAAAAACAUGAGUUUUACAAUCAAGCUUUCUUUUUCUUAUUACCUAAAAGCCUAGCUCCUACAACAUAGCGCAAUUAGGAAGACCCGAUGCAGCUCGCAUACGAACAUCGUUGUUCUCGUUGAGGAAUUCUGUCAUGAUUCCCAUUUUAUUAAAAGAGAAUACAGAUGUCCUCAGAGAGCCCAAGUAACUACUCUGAGAAGUUAAAGCAUUCAGAGAAGCCCAGAAUUGGACACAAAAAUUUCCUGUUUGCCUUUCCAGUCUCUUUUACUCACAGUUUCUUUUACUACAAAUCAGGUUGGUCAUAGUUGGGAAGAGGCCACAUAUCGGGAGAUAAGAUGUAGCUGGAACUCUAUUUAGGGCACUCUCAUGGACGAAGACUGCUCUGUCCCAACUACACUGCUCUCACGGUGGCUGUCACAGAAUCGCAAGGGUUGGAAGGG